rnacentral:lncRNA from 1 species
UAAUACCUAAAAUUGCAAAAAGUGAAAAAGAAAAUUCUAUAAGUGAGCUAAGGCUCAUCCCCUUAAAUAGCACCGUUAUAUUUUCAUAAUUCUCACUCAAUUCUAUACAUCACAAUUUGAAACACUUAUGAGGUCAAGUAUAAUUUCAUGUCUACUGAUAUCUUUGUUCAUCUCCAGCCAUUGUGUGGAAGCAAAGUCCCUGCAAUAUUAUUCCUACAAGGAAUUGUUUUCUCAACUAAAGGUUUCCAGAGAAUUAUUAAGAGACAAAAUAACACCGCCACCACCAGAAAAAAAUAAGAAUAUUGUUAUGUUUGCCCCUCCUAAUUUUAGGGCACAACAGCCUCCGCCGCCGCCACCACCAUCUCCACCACCAGCCGGAGAAGCAGCACCUCCACCUCCACCAAAACCAACAAGUCCAUGAACACCACGUUCACCGCGACUCAGUUAAAUAUGAUGCCAGAGGCGGAACUAGCCUAUUAGGUGCGAGCUCCGCCGAACCCAAUUAUUUUUACUUAAAUAUUUAAUUGCGAACACAAUUAUUUUUGCUUAAAUAGCUUUUUAUUUUUCGAGUGCUUAGAUUUGGAUUUUUUAUGUACUAUUUUCAUUGUUUUGCUUUGUUUAAAAAUAAAACGUGGUUUGAAUAAUCUGGCUGAAAAUUAUGAUGCAUUUAACAUCAGAAACGAUAGACGGAUAGAGAACAGUACAUAAACUUGAACAGUGAGGGUUUCUUUCUUCAGCUCAAAUUUGAAUUUGUUAUAACUGUUUUAAUUUGAUUCUUUAAAAAUUGCUAUCCUAUGCAUUCGCCUAUUUAUUGAUAUUUGUUUUCAGUUUCAUCUAUUUAAUUUUGAUAUUUUAGUGCUGUUACAUUUAUUCGUUCUCUUAUUUGCCUAUUAAGCGGUGGAAAUACAGUAAAGGCGGCAUAACCAAAAUAAUAAUCUCCAUACAAUAUAAAUUCGGACUCGGGGAUGAAAAUAUUGCAAUAAUAUAAAGUUUUUGGAGUCAUACGAAAAUAGACGAUUUUUUCCUUCCAACAACGAUGUUAAAAAUACUGAUACUGCAGAUCAAACUAUAAACGAGAGUUAAACAAUCAGAUUUUUGGCAAGGCAUAAUCAAAGGUUAUGCGUGAGUAUUAUCUCAUUAAUAUAUAUCUGGACUAGCUUACACGUAGAAAAAGUCAUAAUAAUCCUUCAAAAAGUGAGUUAACUUGGUCAGCCGAUCAAUAAUUACCAGAAACUAUAGCCGGCAACCUUUAAGAUCCUAUAUGAGACAUAAUGCAUAUUAUAUGUUCAAUUACUCUACUCUAAAAGUUACUAACAUUAAUUACAUUUUACUCUUCUAUUUGAGGAAGGAUAUAGCGCGAGUUUAAGAAACUCAAGUAACAUUAAUUACACAAUGUUCAUUUUUUAGUGGGAAAGAGUGUAACUAGCAUAAUUAAAUGUUUUUUUAUCAGCUACAAGCAGUUCAUGGAAUAUUGAAGUAUAAGGGAAUAAUCAAUAUACCAUUAUUUAGAAUUUUAUUAAAUUUAACAUCUUGUGCAGAAUACUCCUCGAUAAUUACGAUUAAAUGAUAAAUAUAACAAAAAAACAAACAUGUUCCAUGAAUUUGUUGAUUUGCUGCAAAUAUUUCUUUUUUUUUUUUUGGAACUCUCUCCCUCUCGAGGCAUUCAGGCAACAACAUUUAUUAGAGGCCAAUCAGUUUGCUGGCAUUUUCGGAUGGUUAAACAGAAAAAUAAAAUGAAAAGAAAGUUUUGCUUCAUUAUAUUCAAUUAAAAGCCUCAGCUCACUACAUAAGGAAAGAAAAGAUAUAAAGAUAGAGUAACAAAUAUAAUAUGGCCACUUCUUGUAUAGCAAGUAAUGCGAAGAUAUAAGUUAUAAUCAUCUUCAUUACUUUAAUUCGGAAACUGUUUCCUUUCCUUUAUCUAUUUUGGGAUGGUUUGGAUUAAUUAGUCAAUAACGAUAUAUGAAAGAAGAAACUAAAAAUUCAAGAAAGAUAUGAAUAAUUAGUUGCGAAUAGUUUUGUUUUCCAGAUUUUUUCCCUCUCGAGUCAUCAGUUGAGAGCUUGAACGUGUUGAAACCCAUUUGUUCCAAUUGUUGUCGCAGCCCUCGGUGUUGGUGGACUAGGCCGUCUCCGCUGAGCAGAAACAGCCAACAGUGGCCAAAUUCCUAAACCUAAAGAGGCUUUGUGUAUGCAGCUAUUAUGAAAAAUGGCAACUUCUUGUAUAACAAAUAAUGCCAAGAUACAAGUCAUAAUCAUCCUCAUUUCUUCAACUUGGAAGUUGUUUCUUCUCUUUUUUGUUCUAGGUUUUGGGAUGCGUUGUAAUAACUCUCUUUCAUUUGUCAGAAUUUAUAGUGUGUAUGUCUUGGUAGGAAGCAUUUCAUUAGUCAAAAAUGUUGAAAAAGAAGAAACAUUAUAUCAAAGAAAACUAGGUAAGACUUAUCAACUACCAACCUCCUCGAUCGAAAUUCUCAUUUUCUUUUUUGGGUUUUGAUUCUCUAAUACUCCCUCCGUUUCAAUUGAUGUGAACCUAUUUCCUUUUUAGUCCGUGCCAAAAAGAAUGACCUCUUUCCUUAUUUGAAAACAAUUUACUUUUAUGCAAUGAUUUAUAACCACACAAAAUAUAUGAGCCUCAUUUUACACCACAAGUUCAAAAGUCUUCUUUCUUUUCUUAAACUC